AGAUUUCCCAUCCAUGGAAGGUGAUGCCUCUGGACCACAUCACACAGGCUUCUUUGCCAGCUGACCUCCUGCUGGGUUCAGCGACUCAGGAGUCCCUGUAGUGAACACAUCAUGCAAGAAUAACAACCAUAUGGCUCACAACAGAUGGCAGAAAAGUAAUAAACAAAAGGAAGAUGGAUGGAACUGGAGAUUUUCACAUUAAAUGAAAUAAGCCAGACUCAGAAAGAGUUGUUCUCUGGGAAAUUUACUGAAACUGUCGGGGAGCUGCCGUCUUUAAGAAUUUCAUCUCAGAAAGCGAGAGAAAUUCUGGGCUGUGAGAACCCGGAACGCAGGAGUGCUGAGCACUGCCCACGGACAUGCUGAAGAUGAAAAUGAGCCCAGAGUAUAAUUUUUCAACCACAAUCACACUUCAAGGGAGGACAUAGGACCAGGGAGGAAACUUGAGUCUCCAGGUACCAGACAGAAGAUGGUGGAAAGCUUUGCCUAUCACCUUUCCCAAAUGACGGAGGACCUCGCAGUAAGGAGGUAUCUCAGGUGUAGUGGUGCCUACCUGUAAUCCCAACACUUGGGAGGCUGAGGCAGCAGGAUCUUAGUGAAUUUGAGGCUGCACCCAUCAGACACAUGUAUAGGGGCCACCCUGCUCCAGCACACUGAUUUACCAACCGUGCUGAGACACGAAACUUUGAAACUUUGAAAUUCCUAUUACUGUCAGAUUGGUGGACCAAUCACCUCCAACA